GAUGAACGCUGGCGGCGUGCCUAAUACAUGCAAGUCGAGCGAACGGACGAGAAGCUUGCUUUUCUGAUGUUAGCGGCGGACGGGUGAGUAACACGUGGAUAUCCUACCUAUAAGACUGGGAUAACUUCGGGAAACCGGAGCUAAUACCGGAUAAUAUUUUGAACCGCAUGGUUCAAAAGUGAAAGACGGUCUUGCUGUCACUUAUAGAUGGAUCCGCGCUGCAUUAGCUAGUUGGUAAGGUAACGGCUUACCAAGGCAACGAUGCAUAGCCGACCUGAGAGGGUGAUCGGCCACACUGGAACUGAGACACGGUCCAGACUCCUACGGGAGGCAGCAGUAGGGAAUCUUCCGCAAUGGGCGAAAGCCUGACGGAGCAACGCCGCGUGAGUGAUGAAGGUCUUCGGAUCGUAAAGCUCUGUUAUUAGGGAAGAACAUAUGUGUAAGUAACUGUGCACAUCUUGACGGUACCUAAUCAGAAAGCCACGGCUAACUACGUGCCAGCAGCCGCGGUAAUACGUAGGUGGCAAGCGUUAUCCGGAAUUAUUGGGCGUAAAGCGCGCGUAGCGGUUUUUUAAGUCUGAUGUGAAAGCCCACGGCUCAACCGUGGAGGGUCAUUGGAAACUGGAAAACUUGAGUGCAGAAGAGGAAAGUGGAAUUCCAUGUGUAGCGGUGAAAUGCGCAGAGAUAUGGAGGAACACCAGUGGCGAAGGCGACUUUCUGGUCUGUAACUGACGCUGAUGUGCGAAAGCGUGGGGAUCAAACAGGAUUAGAUACCCUGGUAGUCCACGCCGUAAACGAUGAGUGCUAAGUGUUAGGGGGUUUCCGCCCCUUAGUGCUGCAGCUAACGCAUUAAGCACUCCGCCUGGGGAGUACGACCGCAAGGUUGAAACUCAAAGGAAUUGACGGGGACCCGCACAAGCGGUGGAGCAUGUGGUUUAAUUCGAAGCAACGCGAAGAACCUUACCAAAUCUUGACAUCCUUUGACAACUCUAGAGAUAGAGCCUUCCCCUUCGGGGGACAAAGUGACAGGUGGUGCAUGGUUGUCGUCAGCUCGUGUCGUGAGAUGUUGGGUUAAGUCCCGCAACGAGCGCAACCCUUAAGCUUAGUUGCCAUCAUUAAGUUGGGCACUCUAAGUUGACUGCCGGUGACAAACCGGAGGAAGGUGGGGAUGACGUCAAAUCAUCAUGCCCCUUAUGAUUUGGGCUACACACGUGCUACAAUGGACAAUACAAAGGGCAGCGAAACCGCGAGGUCAAGCAAAUCCCAUAAAGUUGUUCUCAGUUCGGAUUGUAGUCUGCAACUCGACUACAUGAAGCUGGAAUCGCUAGUAAUCGUAGAUCAGCAUGCUACGGUGAAUACGUUCCCGGGUCU
rnacentral:rRNA from 1 species